UUGGUAGUAAUCAAUUUGAUGUGGUGAAUCAGGACCGAGUCGUCUGUAAUGCAAUUAAUUUUGGUUAGCAGGCAGGCCCUCCUCAGGCGAGGUAGCUGCCACCACAUUAGUCGCCACUUUAACUCUCGUCUGGUGUCUCUAUAUAAACAACCGUAGUUGGAUACUGCUAGUCGCUCACUCACUGGCAAACUUCUCCAAGUUCUUUAGUUCCUAAGCAAGCAAAUGGCCUUAAAAGUAGUUAUGCUUCUGGCAUUAUCCUCUUUUUUCCUAAUCACAACAAGGGUUUCAUCGUGGGCGAGGAACUCUUUGUCAAGGACAUCACCCAAAAAGCGCCUCCCCCACCAAUCAAGGCAUCUGAAAGUUCCCCGCAGCCCCCGCAACUGAGGCUUCACCACCACCACCGCCAAUUUACAAACCAGUCCCUGUUCCGCCACCAGCCAAGAAACUGCCUCCUCCUUCUCCACCUCUUAAGGCCUUGCCCCUCCUCCGCCAGUUUAUAAGCCAGUUCCACCUCUACCUGUCAAGAAACCACCAGUGCCGUUGCCCCCUCCUCCGCCAGUCAGAGCACCAGCUCCUCCCUCCCCAAUGAAGCCCCCGCCAAGAAACACAAAAGAAUGCUUUCCCUAUGCGCGGUUAGGUGCAAGUUGCAUUCGAGAAAGAAUGUAUGCUUAAGGGCAUGCGUGACUUGUUGCGACAGAUGCAAGUGCGUUCCUCCAGGGCAAUACGGCAACCGAGAAAAAUGUGGCAAAUGUUAUGCUACAAUGACCACCCGUGGCGGCAGGCUCAAAUGCCCCUAAUUAGCUUAAUUCCCCCUUUACAAAUUACUACUACGCCACUUUCUUUCAGUUUUCCUUGUUCAUCCUCAAGGAGAUGGUCUAAAAGCUAUCUGAUCUUCUUUGGGUUGACGAGCUGAUGAUUUCUUAGAUAUCAUAGAUCAAGCGGUGCGGGUUUGAUUUGUUUCUUGUAGUAAUUUGAUUAAUUAAGAGGUUUAUCAUAAUAAUAAGUUGUACUAGUAAAAAGUGUCUCUCAAGUCUCAUCAUCGAUGAAGAAGAUGAAUUGCGUUUCUGCGCUGCUUAUGUUUAUGUUUAGUACCUUGACUUUCAACGGAUUUAUCUUUGUACUGCUACGAAAUAUACUCUACAAAUUUUCC